rnacentral:misc_RNA from 1 species
CACACGUCAUACCAUGUCGGGACAGAGGGUCGCACCCGCGAGGGGGAGCCAUCCCAGAAACCGAUCGUAGUCCGGAUCGCAGUCUGCAACUCGACUGCGUGAAGUCGGAAUCGCUAGUAUCGCGGAUCAGCAUGUCGCGGUGAAUACGUUCCCGGGUCUGUACACACCGCCCGUCACACCAUGGGAGUGGGUUUUACCAGAAGUAGUUAGCCUAACCGCAAGGGGGGCGAUUACCACGGUAGGAUUCAUGACUGGGGUGAAGUCGUAACAAGGUAGCCGUAUCGGAAGGUGCGGCUGGAUCACCUCCUUUCAGAGCUUAGUGCUCGUGUUAAGCGUCCACUCUUAUCGGUUGUUUGAUAUAUAGCUGGGAUCGGUUGUGGGCUUGGGUAGAGGGAUUCCUCCCUGUGUCCAUGACUCCUGACUACUGAUCCGAGAAGGUUUUGGGUCUGUAGCUCAGUCGGUUAGAGCACCGUCUUGAUAAGGCGGGGGUCGUUGGUUCGAAUCCAACCAGACCCACCAAGUAUUCGCAGGUAGUUGAUACCGUGAAUAUGGGGGUGUAGCUCAGCUGGGAGAGCGCCUGCUUUGCAAGCAGGAUGUCAUCGGUUCGAUCCCGUUCACCUCCACCAAGACUUUAAGAUCACCUGGUGGUGAUGUAGAGGCUAACUCAUAGCGUCGUGUAGAUAAUCUCUGCCCGGUCUUAUGAGUUAGGUUUUACCUGACAGCUAUAUUCGUUCUUUAACAAUCUGGAAGAAGCACAACGAAAUGUACUUAUCAAGUACUCGGCGCAAGCUGAUGAAGAUAAGUACGGGUUGUGAUUGCAUUAAUUUUGUUCCAAGUUCUCAAGACUGGGGUGAAUAACCUCAGACUGCUUUGAAACUUAUGAACGGCACAAACGCUAAUACUCAGGUCCUAUAGCCUACAGCGUUAUAGGAUCAAGCGACUAAGUGCAUAUGGUGGAUGCCUUGGCGAUCACAGGCGAUGAAGGACGUAGUAGCCUGCGAAAAGCUGCGGGAGCUG